UACAGAGGUCUCAAGCGUUGUUCGGAUUCAUUGGGCGUAACGGGUGCGUAGGUGGCGCGCUAAGUCGGGUGUGAAAUUUCGGAGCUUAACUCCGAAACUGCAUUCGAUACUGGUGUGCUUGAGGACUGGAGAGGAGACUGGAAUUCAUGGUGUAGCAGUGAAAUGCGUAGAGAUCAUGAGGAAGACCAGUGGCGAAGGCGGGUCUCUGGACAGUUCCUGACACUGAGGCACGAAGGCCAGGGGAGCAAACGGG
rnacentral:rRNA from 1 species